UUCCUAUGUUUCCCGUAUCAGCUGGAUGCAGAGCUGCUCAUUAGGAGGUGGGAGUCAUCAUUCAUCCCCAAAUUGAGGAAGAUUGCUGCUCUAGAGAAGGGAGUCGUGUUCUCCUUACUUGAUCAGGCUGGAGACCAGAAUGAUGUACAUUACAGAUUCUGACUCACCUACUUCCACCAACUGCGUCAGGAAGGGGAUCAGCCUCAACCCGAUGCAGUGUGAAGUCGGCCAUUUCUUUCCUGAUCAACUUUGUGCCGCAUGGGACGAGCAUCUCCUCCCUAUGCACUUAUGAUGAGGGGUCUUCAAGGACGCAGCCAGAGCUUGUCUGCAUCGGUCGAGCCCAGCACGACAGUUCGUCAUUGUUUCCAGAAAUGACAGUCACAAUUCCACUGCAUGAUGACAGCUUAACCUUUAGACAAGCUCUUCAAGUUCUACUGGGUAUGCAACGUUGCUUAUCCUGCUCAGCUUGCAUCAGUUUUCAUGUUUAUUGAACAUAUGUAUGACUUGCCAGUGACAAAGACUGUUAGACGACCUAAAGUUUGUGUGUAUUGUAUUAUCUGGUAUGUGUUCUCAACUGAAUUUUAUGAAUGCUUUUCCUGUGAGUAAGUGAUGAACUUUUUUAAGGGACCUGCUGUCCUCCUGGGUUGGGUUGGGUUGGGGGGCAGGAGGGUUAAAAAUGUUAAAAUGUUAAUGUUUUGUAUUAAGCCUAGAUAAAGGUAUUUUUAUGAAUAACUUGAAGGCAAUGUUAAUGUUAACACAUGAAAAAUAAACAUUCCAAAGUAUUUUUCAA